rnacentral:rRNA from 1 species
GAUGAACGCUGGCGGCGUGCCUAAUACAUGCAAGUCGAGCGAACAGAUGAGGAGCUUGCUCCUCUGACGUUAGCGGCGGACGGGUGAGUAACACGUGGAUAACCUACCUAUAAGACUGGGAUAACUUCGGGAAACCGGAGCUAAUACCGGAUAAUAUAUUGAACCGCAUGGUUCAAUAGUGAAAGACGGUUUUGCUGUCACUUAUAGAUGGAUCCGCGCCGCAUUAGCUAGUUGGUAAGGUAACGGCUUACCAAGGCGACGAUGCGUAGCCGACCUGAGAGGAUGAUCGGCCACACUGGAACUGAGACACGGUCCAGACUCCUACGGGAGGCAGCAGUAGGGAAUCUUCCGCAAUGGGCGAAAGCCUGACGGAGCAACGCCGCGUGAGUGAUGAAGGUCUUCGGAUCGUAAAGCUCUGUUAUUAGGGAAGAACAAAUGUGUAAGUAACUAUGCACGUCUUGACGGUACCUAAUCAGAAAGCCACGGCUAACUACGUG